GGCUCAAUGGUCUAGAGGUAUGAUUCUCGCUUCGGGCCAUUCAUUACUCCCCCCAGCCCAGCUGGGUUCCUGCAAAGGAUAUGCGAGAGGUCCCGCGUUCGACUCGCGGUUGAGCCC